ANCNAACGCUAGCGGCGUGCCUAACACAUGCAAGUCGCACGAGAAAUCCCGGGCAACUGGGAGAGUAAAGUGGCGCACGGGUGAGUAACGCGUGGGUAAUCUACCCUGAAGUUGGGAAUAACACCUCGAAAGGGGUGCUAAUACCCGAUAACAUCCCCGAGACCCCGGUCUUGAGGAUCAAAGAUGGCUGAGGCUUGCAAGCUAUUGCUUUAGGAUGAGCCCGCGUACCAUUAGCUAGUUGGUGGGGUAAUGGCCCACCAAGGCCGUGAUGGUUAGCUGGUCUGAGAGGAUGGCCAGCCACACUGGAACUGAGAUACGGUCCAGACUCCUACGGGAGGCAGCAGUGAGGAAUCUUGCGCAAUGGGGGCAACCCUGACGCAGCAACGCCGCGUGAGUGAUGAAGGCCUUCGGGUCGUAAAGCUCUGUCAGAUGGGAAGAAGGUUCCGGGCAUGAAUAAUUCCCGGGAUUGACGGUACCGUCAAAGGAAGCACCGGCUAACUCCGUGCCAGCAGCCGCGGUAAUACGGAGGGUGCAAGCGUUGUUCGGAAUCAUUGGGCGUAAAGAGCGUGUAGGCGGUCGGGUAAGUCAGAUGUGAAAUCCCUUGGCUUAACCAAGGAAGUGCAUUUGAAACUGCCCGGCUUGAGUACGGGAGGGGGAAGUGGA
rnacentral:rRNA from 1 species